UCGUUAGCUCAGUUGGCUAGAGCACCUGACUUUUAAUCAGGGUGUCACAGGUUCGAGUCCUGCAC
rnacentral:tRNA from 1 species